rnacentral:rRNA from 1 species
GGAGGGUGCAAGCGUUAAUCGGAAUUACUGGGCGUAAAGCGCACGCAGGCGGUCUGUUAAGUCAGAUGUGAAAUCCCCGGGCUUAACCUGGGAACUGCAUUUGAAACUGGCAGGCUUGAGUCUCGUAGAGGGGGGUAGAAUUCCAGGUGUAGCGGUGAAAUGCGUAGAGAUCUGGAGGAAUACCGGUGGCGAAGGCGGCCCCCUGGACGAAGACUGACGCUCAGGUGCGAAAGCGUGGGGAGCAAACAGGAUUAGAUACCCUGGUAGUCCACGCCGUAAACGAUGUCGACUUGGAGGUUGUUCCCUUGAGGAGUGGCUUCCGGAGCUAACGCGUUAAGUCGACCGCCUGGGGAGUACGGCCGCAAGGUUAAAACUCAAAUGAAUUGACGGGGGCCCGCACAAGCGGUGGAGCAUGUGGUUUAAUUCGAUGCAACGCGAAGAACCUUACCUACUCUUGACAUCCAGCGAACUUUCCAGAGAUGGAUUGGUGCCUUCGGGAACGCUGAGACAGGUGC